AUUUGAGCUAUUGAACAAUUGGGCUUCCAAGUAAUUCCCAGCAAGCUUUUGUAAGGACACGCUGGCAAGACUAUGGCAGUCCAAAUGUUCCAUUGGCUCA
rnacentral:pre_miRNA from 1 species